AGCGGAGGAAAAGAAACCAACAGGGAUUGCCCCAGUAGCGGCGAGUGAAGCGGCAAGAGCUCAGAUUUGAAAUCGUGUUUCGGCACGAGUUGUAGAGUGUAGGCGGGAGUCUCUGUGGAGCGCGGUGUCCAAGUCCCUUGGAACAGGGUGCCUGAGAGGGUGAGAGCCCCGUAGGGUGCUGCGCGAAGCUUUUGAGGCCCUGCUGACGAGUCGAGUUGUUUGGGAAUGCAGCUCCAAGCGGGUGGUAAAUUCCAUCUAAGGCUAAAUAUUGGCGAGAGACCGAUAGCGAACAAGUACUGUGAAGGAAAGAUGAAAAGCACUUUGAAAAGAGAGUGAAACAGCACGUGAAAUUGUUGAAAGGGAAGGGUAUUGGGCUCGACAUGGGGGGUGCGCACCGCUGUCUCUUGUAGGCGGCGCUCUGGGCGCCCUCUGGGCCAGCAUCGGUUCCUGCUGCGGGAGAAGGGGCUCCGGAAAGUGGCUCUUCGGAGUGUUAUAGCCGGGGCCAGAUGCCGCGUGUGGGGACCGAGGACUGCGGCUCUUCUCGGAUGCUGC
rnacentral:rRNA from 1 species